UACGUAGGUGGCGAGCGUUAUCCGGAGUUACUGGGCGUAAAGCGCGGGCAGGCGGUCUUGCCAGUCUGAUGUGAAAUCUCCUCGCUCAACGGGGAGCAGCCAUUGGAAACUACAAGACUGGAGUCUGACAGAGGUAGGCGGAAUUCCGGGUGGAGUGGUGAAAUGCGUAGAGAUCCGGAGGAACACCAGAGGCGAAGGCGGCCUACUGGGUCAGUACUGACGCUGAGCCGCGAAAGCCAGGGGAGCGAACGGG
rnacentral:rRNA from 1 species